CGGCAAACGUUAGCUGUUUAGAAAAAUAAAAUGAAUAUUCCCAUUACGUACGAUUUAUAAGGCUUAUUACAGGAAAAUCUAAAGUAUUGUCUGACAAGUCCUCCAGAUAUGGAUAUUAUGGAUCUUACAGUUCAGCUGGAUGGUGUUGUAAUGCGAAGUGUUACUCACAAGCAAUUAAAUCACGAAUGCGCUCCGGCAAUAAAGGAUGCGUUCUCAAGAACAGCUGU